rnacentral:rRNA from 1 species
AUGCACAGACCGGCAUGUGCAGCAAACGACACAGAGAUAAGAAAGGUUACUAAGGAACUUGAUGAACUAUUACUAAGGGAAGAGAUACUUUGGAGACAACGGUCAAGGGCUACAUAUUUACGGGAAGGAGAUAGGAAUACGGAAUGGUUUCACCGGCAGGCGACGUGGAGAAGGAAACCGAAUAGCAUCACAAAAUUGAUGAAUGAGAAAGGGGAAUGGAUAGAGCAAAAAACGGAUCUACAUAAAAUGGCGACAAUUUUUUUCAAGGUGCUCUACGCUGAAGACAAGAAUGUAAAACCGCAGGAAAUCUUGGGGCUGUUCAGUGAGCUUGUGAGUCAGGGGAUGAAUGAGGAACUGGAGAAGGAAUAUACGGAGAAAGAGAUCAGUGAUGCCUUGUUCCAAAUAGGCCCACUAAAAGCCCCUGGACCAGACGGUUUUCAUGCUAGGUUUUACCAAAGGAACUGGGGGGUGCUAAAAAUUGAGGUGGUGUCUGCGGUUAAGAGAUUCUUUGUAGAAGGCACAAUGCCGGAGGGACUGAACGACAUAGUCAUAGUGUUAAUUCCCAAAGGCAAUGAUCCCAAAAAUCUAAAGGAUUUCCGGCCGAUCAGUUUGUGCAACGUGAUUUACAAGGUGAUCUCAAAAUGCUUGGUCAACCGUUUGAGACCACUUUUGGAUGAGCUUAUCUCGGAGACUCAAAGCGCUUUCAUUUCAGGGAGAAUGAUUACGGACAAUGCGUUGAUAGCUUUCGAAUGCUUCCAUAAGAUCAGCCACAGUAAGGUCCCGCAAAACACAUAUUGUGCCUACAAGCUCGACCUCGCCAAAGCUUAUGACCGAGUAGAUUGGAACUUCCUAGAGGGUGUGAUGGUUAAGCACGGGUUCAGUAAGAAAUGGAUAACCUGGAUUAUGGUUUGCGUCCGUUCGGUCAGAUACACAGUGAAGUUUAACGGAGAGCUAUUGGAGUGCUUUACACCGAUGAGAGGCUUAAGGCAGGGGGACCCACUAAGCCCAUAUCUAUUCUUGUUUGUAGCGGAAGGCUUGACACGCAUAAUGCGAAAAGAAGUAGAGGAAGGAUCCAUCACGCCAAUCAAGGUCGCUCGGGGAAGCCCAGGUAUCUCAAAUCUGCUAUUCGCAUAUGACAGUAUGUUGUUCUUUCGUGCAUUCGUAGAACAAGCAAAAGUUAUCCGGAGUGCUCUGGACAGAUUUCAAAGUGGCAUAGGGCAACUCCUUAGUACUAGCAAAUGCUCGGUACUGUUCUUUGAGAGGUGCCCAAGUAACAUUCAGACUGAGGUCAAGAACAUUUUGUUGGUGGAAACCUCUACGUUCGAAAGCAAAUACAUGGGGCUACCAACGCCAGAGGGGAGAAUGAAGGAUGAGAACUUUCAGCCCAUCAUGGAAAGGUUCAUGAAGAGAUGUAGCAACCGAAAUGGUAGACAUAUGUCCUUUGCUGCGAAAGAAGUAUACGUCAAAUCAAUAGUGCAAGCACUACCGACCUUUACCAUGGGCGUGUUUAAAAUGUCAGUUGGUUUCGGUGAGAAUAUGAAAGAUUAA